GCCGUCGUGGUGUAACGGUAGCACACUCGGCGCGUAUCCGAGAGGUCCAGGUUCGAGUCCUGCCUAGGGCA
rnacentral:tRNA from 1 species